UCAGACAACGCGCGAGCAGCGCCCACCACUGGGGUAGUGCGUGCCCGCGCCAGCUUGUACCGUCAUGGUCGGUGUCAGAUUUUACCCUACGAAGUACAGCGUCGCAUCACA
rnacentral:snoRNA from 1 species